rnacentral:ncRNA from 1 species
GGCCUGCUUCUUGCUGAUCCGCCGGUAGGGUAACCAACGGCGGUUGCCUCCACCCACGACAAAGACGUCGC